CACGUAGGGCGCAAGCGUUGUCCGGAAUUAUUGGACGUAAAGAGCUCGUAGGCGGUCUGUUGCGUCCGCUGUGAAAACUCGGGGCUUAACCCCGAGCCUGCAGUGGAUACGGGCAGACUAGAGGUAGGUAGGGGAGAAUGGAAUUCCCGGUGUAGCGGUGAAAUGCGCAGAUAUCGGGAGGAACACCGGUGGCGAAGGCGGUUCUCUGGGCCUUACCUGACGCUGAGGAGCGAAAGCGUGGGGAGCGAACAGG
rnacentral:rRNA from 1 species